AGUCAAUAGAUACCCAGGUAGUCCACGCCGUAAACGAUGAGUACUAGGUGUAGGAGGUAUCGACUCCUUCUGUGCCGCAGUUAACACAAUAAGUACUCCGCCUGGGAAGUACGGUCGCAAGAUUAAAACUACAAAGGAAUUGACGGGGGCCCGCACAAGCAGCGGAGCAUGUUGGUUUAAUUCGAAGCAACGCGAAGAACCUUACCUAGACUUGACAUCUCCUGAAUAGUGUAGAGAUACAUGAAGCCCUUCGGGGCGAGGAAGACAGGUGGUGCAUGGUUGUCGUCAGCUCGUGUCGUGAGAUGUUGGGUUAAGUCCCGCAACGAGCGCAACCCUUAUUACUAGUUGCUACCAUUAAGUUGAGCACUCUAGUGAGAC
rnacentral:rRNA from 1 species